rnacentral:rRNA from 1 species
GCUCAGAAACUUAAAGGAAUUGACGGGGCCCGCACAAGCGGAGGAGCAUGUGGUUUAAUUCGAUGAUACGCGAGGAACUUACCUGGGCUCGAACGUAAGAUGACUGUAGGUGAAAGCUUACAUCUCUUCGGAGCAUUUUACGAGGUGCUGCAUGGUUGUCGUCAGCUCGUGCCGUGAGGUGUCGGGUUAAGUCCCAUAACGAGCGCAACCCUACCUUUAGUUGCCAUCAGGUAAUGCUGGGGACUCUAAAGGAACUGCCUACGCAAGUAGUGAGGAAGGCGGGGAUGACGUCAAAUCAGCACGGCCCUUACGUCCAGGGCUACACACGUGCUACAAUGGCCGAUACAGAGGGCAGCUACCUGGUGACAGGAUGCAAAUCUCCAAAGUCGGUCUCAGUUCGGAUCGGAGUCUGCAACCCGACUCCGUGAAGUUGGAUUCGCUAGUAAUCGCGCAUCAGCCAUGGCGCGGUGAAUACGUUCCCGGGCCUU